GGGUUUCCCUGCUAUGUUUUGUCACACAUCAUUGCUGGGAGAGUUCAGUGCUAUCCAAGUGACUCCCCCGGGAGAGGACAACUGGAAAUUUAUGCCUGGUGUCUUCCUGGACUCCGACCUAUGGACCUUCUUCCUUGGAUGAUUUUAACCUGUCUCCUUUUGCUGCAAUGAACCAUAACCAUAAGUAUAUCAGCUUUUCUAAUUUUUGUGAGUCCCUCAAGUGAAUUAUCAAACCUAAGGUAGUUUUGGGACCCCCAUCACAGAGAGUCAAACAGGGGCAGGGCAAGAAGAGCUGCUUUUCCUGGAAGGCUAAUGAGUCUGAACUUCGCCCUGGAGGUAAUCGUUAUAGUAACUCCAGGCUCUAACCUGGAGCUGACAUGAUAAGGUCAAAUGUACACCUCUAGAAGACUUCCGACUGCAGAGGGGAAUGGAUGGGGGAGCUGAGGGAGGAGAGCUGAAGCAGGAAGACCAUGGCCUGGAAAGAGAUGGCUGAACCAGUCCAGAAUCACAAGAAAGGCAUCAGCACCUUCUGUGAAAUGGGGAACCAUGCAGAGGAGGUGCCCAGGUGGCGAGGAGUCCAUGUCAG
rnacentral:antisense_RNA from 1 species